CAUUGACUUGGGUGGUCUGAGUACUCUUAAUCUGCACAAACAGUUUAAAGAAUAGCUUAAUUUACACAUAGUACUCUGUCAAAAUCCAAUUUUAAAACACAGAACAAGAAAUAAAGUUUUAUAAGCAUAUAAAAAUACAGAUGUAAUCCUUUACUGUGACCCUCAUAGUUACCCUCACAGUCAAACUCUCUAGGUUCUAAACUUUCAGGGAGUGUGGGUAAGACAUACGUUGAGUCUUCUGGAAUUGAGUUUAUGUGGACAUCAAUAGAUAUUAUUAUACUAAGGCAAUUCUUAAAAAGGAUUGUACUGGUUUAUUUGCUGUCUUAAUAGUGCUACAGCUCUCAUUCCAUCACUCCUGGCCCACAGUGGCCCCAGAAGCAUUUUAGUCACAAAGAAAAACUAUUUACCAUAAAAAUGGUACCUCUGCUGUAAGAAAUAAUUCUCUAAAUCCACAUUUCUUCUCUCCAGUGAAGAAAGUUUUGUGUAGGGAAAAGGAAGAAAUAUAUCUAGACUUUUUAGAUCUUUUCUUUUCAUGGAUUUCUUCUGAACAUCUACUUGUUGGAUGCUUGCCCAUUAGAACUGAUGAAUACUCUAAAAUACUGAGAAAGAAU